rnacentral:rRNA from 1 species
ACGUAGGGGGCAAGCGUUAUCCGGAUUUACUGGGUGUAAAGGGAGCGCAGACGGCGAUGCAAGUCUGGAGUGAAAGCCCGGGGCUCAACCACGGGACUGCUUUGGAAACUGUAUGGCUAGAGUGCUGGAGAGGCAAGCGGAAUUCCUAGUGUAGCGGUGAAAUGCGUAGAUAUUAGGAAGAACACCAGUGGCGAAGGCGGCUUGCUGGACAGUAACUGACGUUCAGGCUCGAAAGCGUGGGGAGCAAACAG